UUUGAUCUUCUUGUACCGAUUGCAACUAUUGUACAUGAAAAGCCAAUUUCGCACGCUGCUUCAUACAAAUUCUUCCAGCUUUAACAAAACUUCAUUGAUACGAAACUCCAAAUCCACAAUGCGGAAAAGCAGUGCAACUGUAUUCUUUGCUGCAUUAUCUAUUUCAUUGCUCCUUUACAUAAGUGUUUCCAAUACGCCGACUCCGCGAUUUAACUUUUCGGAUUCUGCAGUUAGCAAAGUUUGGAGUAAUUAUACUGCUUGGCAUGACUGCUUGAUGCAAAAUAUUUCAAAGCUUCAUGACGAUCCUAACGCGCUUUGGGGAAACCUGUGGCGUGGACUCAAAAAAUGUGAAACUAUCGACGAGAUGAAAGGAUUAUUCAUUGGUGAUUAUCCGAAUUCUGACGAGACAAAACGACAUAUUGUUCCAAAAAUGGAAUUGCCAAGUGUCAUAAUCACACUGGGAAUUGGACAUGAUACAGGAGCAGAGGAGAAACUAAAGAAAGGACUGAAACACGGAUCCGAAUUUUUUGGAGCAGACCCUAUGCAUGAAAUUAAUGAAGACCUGUUCACCAAACUCGGCGGAAAAUAUUUUCCAUUUGCAGUUGGAGCUACCCCUGGUCUUGCAGAAGCUAGUGUUUUAAUCAAUUCCACCUACACUACUAAAACGGUAGUCAACGUGGACAUUAUAUACUUCUUGAAGAAAUUGGUGAAUAGAACUUUUAUCGAUGACAUUUGGAUUGACGGAGAAGGUGCGGAAUACGGAUUGUUUGAUCAUUUCUACAAUGGUGGAGCUUUUGAUCAAAAUGGAAUAACUUUCUGUCAAUUUAACAUCGAGAUUCACCUGCCAGAUAACCUACAGAAGAAACUUUUCCACGAUUUCAUUUUUCAAUUGUUGAAAGACAAGCGAUAUGCCAUUUAUAGGCCAGUACAAGGAAGUCAUAUGCGCCUAUUUAUGCUCAACUACGCCAACGAGGAGUGUGUUUAUAAGUACAUUCUCUAG
rnacentral:misc_RNA from 1 species